rnacentral:tRNA from 2 species
GGGCGGUAGUUGAGUUGGUUACAACAACGGCCUGUCACGCCGUAGGUCACGGGUUCGAGUCCCGUCCGCC